rnacentral:tRNA from 1 species
UGGCCGAGUGGUUAAGGCGAUGGACUGUUAAUCCAUUGGUGUUUCCCCGCGUGAGUUCGAAUCUCAU